rnacentral:lncRNA from 1 species
UUUCUGUCUGCCUCUCAUUGGCAAACAUGACAUUUCAGCAAUUUCUCUAAAGAGGAAUGACUGGGGGGUAUGUACAGCAGGCAUCAUGUAAGAAAAACUCACACCUCACGACAUAUUUGUUUGAUUUAUUCAGCAGACUUCAGCAAAGGAAAGAUGUGAAAGCAACCCUUGAUUGUUGAUUUUUUGUUCAUUCUGAAAAUCACAUCGCCAGAUCCAACACCUUUUUAUCCCAAUCACCAGUACAAGCCACCCGUAUCAGUGUACACUGUGGCUGACCGAUCCAUAGUGAUGCUUUGAGUUCUAUGAAGUGAACAGGCAUCCAACAAGGCUGAUGGCACAGAAGAUGGUCCUAAGACAGACAAGCAAACAAAACUUGCCUUCUCUGUGGAAGCACUUCCUGACUUCGCUUCCCCAACAACACAAGGAAGGACUUUCUGGAAUCUACUUAUCUGACCAAGAAAGCUUCUUUCCAAAAGAAAUGCAAUUGUCUUGAGACUUCUUCCCUAGGGAUCUGAUCAACUAACCAGAAAAGAGCAACCACCAGAGAAGAGACUGUGGGUGUCAUUGUGACUGGCUGCUACCUCCCCAUGAGUCUUCUAAAAUAAAACCUGCAAAUUCACAUCUUCCCCAUGCUUCCAGAGAAUGCAUAUUCUUCCUUUGAAAAAAGAAAACCAGGUAGUCGUACAGUGUCCAGAAGGCAAAAGGACAAGUAUGCACUGCCCUACUUACCUACUUUCCACACUGCUGCACAGGAAAAUCUGACAGAGGACAAUAACAAACAUCUCACCAGCUCAUGCGUUCUUUUUUGAUCCUAAUUCCGAGAGACUCACCAAAGACAUGAAGAGAAAACAAACAAUACUUUUCUUGGAAAUAUUGUAAUUGCUGGUACAUUUGUUGUUCUGGCAUAAAGUAGAAAUUGUCAGUUACCAGAACAAUACUCAGUGAACUUAUGAAUAUAUGGUAAAUAUUAAACACAUCCCACUUGGAUGAGAAGAUAUGUGAGUCGAUGAGUAUAGCUAAGUCUAAAGUUAGAUGUGUUCCAUAAACAUAGUGUUUAUGGAGUUGGUGCAUAUUCAC